rnacentral:tRNA from 1 species
GGGGAUUUGGCUCAGUGGUAGAGCGCUUGCCUAGCAUGCACAAAGCCCUGGGUUCGAUCCCCAGCUCUG